rnacentral:rRNA from 1 species
GACGAACGCUGGCGGCGUGCCUAAUACAUGCAAGUAGAACGCUUAAGGGAGGAGCUUGCUCUUCUUGGAUGAGCUGCUCAUGGGUGAGUAACGCGUAGAUAACCUGGCUUUUAGCGUGGUAUAACUACUUGAAACGCUAGCUAAUACCGCAUAACAAUGGAUUACCCAUGUCCCUUAUUUGAACGGGGCACAUGCUCCACUACAAGAUGGACCUGCGUUGUAUUAGCUAGUAGGUGAGGUAACGGCUCACCUAGGCGACGGUAAAUAGCCGACCUGAGAGGGCUAUCCGGAACACGGGGACGGUGACAGCGCCCAGGCUUCCCAAGGAGGCCACAGUUACGGAUCUUGGACCAUGAGGGCAACGCUGAAGCAGCGAAGACGCGUGGGUGACGCAGGUGUUCGGGUCGUAAAGAUCUGGUGUAAGUGGAGAUUGUGUGUGCGCGUGAUAAGCUCACAAAGUGACGGUACCUUACCAGAAAGCAACGGCUAACUACGUG